rnacentral:rRNA from 1 species
GACGAACGCUGGCGGCGUGCUUAACACAUGCAAGUCGAACGGAAAGGCCCUGCUUUUGUGGGGUGCUCGAGUGGCGAACGGGUGAGUAACAAGUGAGUAACCUGCCCUUGACUUUGGGAUAACUUCAGGAAACUGGGGCUAAUACCGGAUAGUAGCUCCUGCUGCAUGGUGGGGGUGGGAAAGUUUCGGCGGUUGGGGAUGGACGCGCGGCUUAUCAGCUUGUUGGUGGGGUAGUGGUUUACCAAGGCUUUGACGGGUAGCCGACCUGAGAGGGUGAACGGCGACAAGGGGCCUGAGAGAGGGCCCAGUGGGGUAUGUUGGACAGCAGGGGGGAGUAUGAUGCAGCGAGGGGGAGCCUAUUGAGACAGCGCUCGGGGUGGAAAGUAGGCCCUGGGGGGAGAAAGCGCGUAAGGCUAAUACGAAUCCUCAGUGACGUUAACGGGAGAAGAAGCACCGGCUAACUACGUG